rnacentral:rRNA from 1 species
GGACUACCAGGGUAUCUAAUCCUGUUUGCUACCCACGCUUUCGUAUCUCAGCGUCAGAAGUGGUCCAGUAAGCUGUCUACACCACAGGUGUUCCUUCUGAUAUCUACGCAUUUCACCGCUACACCAGAAAUUCCGCUUACCUCUCCCACCCUCAAGCCCGCCAGUUUUCGGCGCACCCUCCCAGUUAAGCCGGGAGAUUUCACACCAAACUUGGCGAACCGCCUACAUACUCUUUACGCCCAGUAAUUCCGAACAACGCUUGCUGCCUACGUAUUACCGCGGCUGCUGGCAC